rnacentral:rRNA from 1 species
CAGCCGUAAACAAUGUGCGUUAGGUGUGUCGGUAACCACGCGUUACUGAUGCGCCGAAGAGAAAUCGUGAAACGCACCACCUGGGAAGUACGGUCGCAAGGCUGAAACUUAAAGGAAUUGGCGGGGGAGCACCGCAACGGGAGGAGCGUGCGGUUUAAUUGGAUUCAACGCCGGAAAACUCACCAGGGGAGACUGUUACAUGAAACCCAGACUAAUGAUCUUGGUUGAUUUUCAGAGAGGAGGUGCAUGGCGUCAGUGACU